UACGUAGGGAGCGAGCGUUGUUCGGAAUUACUGGGCGUAAAGGGAGCGUAGGCGGGUCCGUAAGUUAGGAGUCUAAACCCGGGGCUUAACCCUGGGCCGGCUUUUAAUACUGCGGGUCUUGAGUAUGGGAGAGGAUGAUGGAAUUCCAGGUGUAGCGGUGGAAUGCGUAGAUAUCUGGAAGAACACCAGUAGCGAAGGCGGUCAUCUGGCCCAAUACUGACGCUGAGGCUCGAAAGCUGGGGGAG
rnacentral:rRNA from 1 species